AUGAGUUGUAUUAACUGGAACCGCCGGGGGCUUGGGAUCCCCGAGGCAGUUCGAGAGCUUCGCAGCAUAGUGAAACUAGAAGGCCCCUCUCUUGUCUUUGUUAUGGAAACGAAGAUUAGAGGUAAAAGAGUGGAGGAUCUGCAGCAUACUCUAGGUUUUGGAGGCUGUUUUGCAGUAGAUAGUGUUGGUUUAAGUGGUGGGAUUGGCCUUUUUUGGGCUAAAAAUGUUAAUGUUGAACUUAAGAAUUAUAGCACCCGUCAUAUUGAUGUCGUGGUGCAGAAUAAAGAUAUGAACACGCCGGUAUGGAGGUUUACCAGUUUUUAUGGAGCGCCAAGAGCUACAGAAUGA
rnacentral:rRNA from 1 species